rnacentral:tRNA from 1 species
GGUAAGAUGGCCGAGAGAAUAGGCGGCGGGUUGUAGCCCCGAAAACAGAGGCUCCAAUCCUCUUCUUACCA